GUGUCCCACAAGGAGGGAGCCGUGUGACAGAACCAUCUGUCUGCUGGAUUUUUGCCCAUUCGUCUGUUUGUCCCCGUUCGUAUGAAUGGCUGGUUUCUAUAGCCCAGCCAUUCGAAUGACUCUUUUUCCCGAACAAAUCUGCCGAACGAACGGCCACCCAAGUGAGGAGUGUGCUGCAGGUUAACGAAGUGAUCACCAUUAUAACGUUG